rnacentral:rRNA from 1 species
UGACCUCAAUCAGGUAGGACUACCGCUGAACUAACAUAU